rnacentral:rRNA from 1 species
GACGAACGCUGGCGGCGUGCUUAACACAUGCAAGUCGAACGAUGAAGCUAGAGCUUGCUCUGGUGGAUUAGUGGCGAACGGGUGAGUAACACGUGAGUAACCUGCCCCGAACUCUGGGAUAACUGCUGGAACCGGUAGCUAAUACCGGAUAUGACCAAUGAAGGCAUCUUCUGUUGGUGGAAAGAAUUUCGGUUCGGGAUGGACUCGCGGCCUAUCGGCUUGUUGGUGAGGUAACGGCUCACCAAGGCGACGACGGGUAGCCGGCCUGAGAGGGUGAUCGGCCACACUGGGACUGAGAAACGGCCCAGACUCCUACGGGAGGCAGCAGUGGGGAACAUUGCACAAUGGGCGCAAGCCUGAUGCAGCAACGCCGCGUGAGGGACGACGGCCUUCGGGUUGUAAACCUCUUUUAGUAGGGAAGAAGCGAAAGUGACGGUACCUGCAGAAAAAGCACCGGCUAACUACGUGCCAGCAGCCGCGGUAA